rnacentral:rRNA from 1 species
AUGAACGCUGGCGGCGUGCCUAAUCCAUUCAAGUCGAGCGAACGGACGAGAAGCUUGCUUUUCUGAUGUUAGCGGCGGACGGGUGAGUAACACGUGGAUAACCUACCUAUAAGACUGGGAUAACUUCGGGAAACCGGAGCUAAUACCGGAUAAUAUUUUGAACCGCAUGGUUCAAAAGUGAAAGACGGUCUUGCUGUCACUUAUAGAUGGAUCCGCGCUGCAUUAGCUAGUUGGUAAGGUAACGGCUUACCAAGGCAACGAUGCAUAGCCGACCUGAGAGGGUGAUCGGCCACACUGGAACUGAGACACGGUCCAGACUCCUACGGGAGGCAGCAGUAGGGAAUCUUCCGCAAUGGGCGAAAGCCUGACGGAGCAACGCCGCGUGAGUGAUGAAGGUCUUCGGAUCGUAAAACUCUGUUAUUAGGGAAGAACAUAUGUGUAAGUAACUGUGCACAUCUUGACGGUACCUAAUCAGAAAGCCACGGCUAACUACGUG